rnacentral:lncRNA from 1 species
GAGGCCCCUGUGGUUGGAGCACUAGCCCCGAGAGGGAGAGGAGUCCAGGGCUACAGUGGGAGAGAGAGUCCCAGGGAGCCUGGGGCAGUGACCACUGGGAGAACAGCUGAGCUGCAGCCAGAGCAGGGAGAAGAAGACCAACAGGAGAAAGGCAAUGAAGAGGUGGAAGAUGGAGCAUUUCCGGCGGAGGCCUCCAGGAAGCAACCUGGCCCUGAGCAGUUUUCUCCCAAUCUUUCAAGGCCAAAGACCCACGUCAAGUCACACCCAUCCCCCCACCCCCCUGUCAAGCUCCCUGCUGUGUUCCCAGGGUACCCGGCACUUCCGUCCUUACAGCGCUCCCAUGAGACGGGCUGCAUGAUCCUACUAGCAGAACACGUCCAUAUUUUUAUCUGUGGCCUCAGGCCCAGUCAGACUGCAAAGAGCUUGUCAAUCGUGUUAGGGGAAGGGUCAGAGCAGCCAAUGGCAUGCUGUAAGGCACACCCUGGCACCACAGCCACACCUGCCUUUCUCCAGCUGCAAACCUGGAAGCCAGCAGCCCUGACGCCAGGCCCAGGUCCCUCAUGCUCCCCUCACCAGGCUUCUGCUUACCCCCCAUUGUCCUGUGGUGACGGUUUCCACUGUGGAGCAGUAGAGCCCAGGCCUGCAGAUGGCCGGACAAGCCUGGGAGCUUUAUAGAGUCUUUCUUGCACUCUGGGCUCCUUCUGGGAGCAGGACUGAGACUUACAUGAUGAACAAUGGGUAACAGACCUCCUUUGGGGGAAUAAACAAUGGCCAUUAUCCAGGA